UUGGAAUGGCCGGUUCUGAACAGCCGCUCUUGUUUUGAUCAGAGUCCACGUUGGAAAGCUUACUUAGCAUGCCCUCUAUAUGGCACUUUUCGCCUUUGUAUGGACCGGAUCUUCCUUGGCCAGUGUGCCUAAGAGACCCACGCCAUCAAAAUCAUCUGUUUGCCAUCCCAAGGACCAUCGCUGAGUGAUCAUUUCCAGUGCGAAGUUUCUGACUACUGGAGAGAACACCGGAUAGACGGUCCGCAUCAGAGGUCCCCGAGAAGAGUCUCACACGAAGGCCACGUCUCUUGUUUGCAGCUGGGGUUGACUGCUCCAGGACAGCCAGAAUGUGCUGUCAGGUGGGCAAAUCAGGCCGCAAAACAUCCAUUUCCACCUCCGGGUUGUUGAUCUGGUUUACCAACCCGUCCCCGUCACGUCUGGGAGGUACCUGGGUGGCCAUUGGAUAGAAAAGAGUAGCCAAUGUGGGAGGAGGGAGCUCCAAAUACAGAGGAGGCACCUCUGCUGGCUCACAAACGCACACACUUCGACCUGAAGAUGUGGCCCCUGUGCACAUAAUGUCCCCCACAUUUUCACUUGGCCUCCCCUCUCAACCCUCCCCAUCCCCCCACAUGCAAGCAGCGCAGUGAACCUUCUGGCAAACCAGGCAUGGGGCUUCCCGAAAUCCUGGCUGCAGCGCGGGGGGUGGCACAGCAAAGAGGCCCAACCUUGCUCAUCUCCCCAGAGAUGUUUCCUGACCCCCCCCCCACAAAGCCCAGCACAGGCUGCCCCUCUCCCGCUUCCACGCGAGGCUGCCUGCCCCGGGUCUGCCCGUUCCAGCGCUCCUGGCUGGUGAUGCCAGCAGCCUCGUGGCUGCAGAGCGUGUGGGGCAGCAGCACCCAGAAGCGUCUCAUCAGGCGUAGCUUCACAUCCAGCAACUGGUGGGGGAAAGCAGGCACUGUUAAGGAAAGGCCGGCUUUCUUCGGCAGCUUCCCUGAAAGAGCCCCCCCCACCCCCGAGCUGCACAAGGCCUCCUUCAUAAGUGCCCGAGCGACUUCCCCCACCCCUUCAACACCAUGCCUCUGCCCCCACAGCUCAUCGGGCCGAGGACAGAGAGAGGGAUAAUGCGGAAUUCCCGGGGGUGUUCUGCUUUGGCAUCAGCUGCCUUCAGUGCAUCGAAAGGGGGGACAUGCACGGAUCUUGUGAGGUGCCUGCAGUCAGGUGGGGCUUUCUCAGGAGGAGAAGCGAUGUGGUGCUGCCUCCUGCGUGUUCAAGGUCGAGAAAACCAACAGCCUUGGCUCGGUGUCAGCAGCACACCAGGCUUUCAAAAUUAUAGCUAGAAUCAGCCUAUAAGCAGUUCGGAAGUCUGGGGCCUGAUCAGCCUGUGGGGUGCCGAGAUACACUGGACUUCCUCUGAGUCCAUGUUCUCCCUGGAAGUGGGGGGAUCAACCAAUCCCUGCAUAGCUGCUCGUGCCAGGCUGAGGAAGAAGUGACCAGCUUCUCUCAGCAGCAAGGGAGCGGGCAUGCAGAAGUGCCACCCAAGUCAAGGCUCCAGCCCAGGAGGACUGCCUUAGUACAAAGAACCAAAAGGACAAAGGACUUGGUGGUCGACUUUGUCCUGGAGAUUUGACUGCCCUUGAACUUUGUAGGAUUCUCUGAAUGUUUCCAAAUGUUUUUUCAGGGGAAAGCUUAGCAUCUCAUGAGGCCCAAAACAACAACAACAACUGCCAAUAGUGAACAUCAUGUUAAUUCAGUGAUCAUGGUCAUCAGAUUUUAUUGCUUUUGGUCAAUAGACUUUGCAUAAAAUUAAUACAAACCUUGUUCAAACCCCACAGAUGGGCUUAAUAUCUGCUUAAAAUAAAUAUGCUUAAAUUGCAUGUAUCAAACAUGCAAGCUUUUAAAAUCUUCUUGAAAAUUGUUAAUCCAUAUCUAUAAAAUAAUCUUUGUAACUGAUGGCUAUUUCUGCUAUAUAUUUCUUUUUAAUCUAGUUGGCAGCGAUUGAUGCCAGGUCACAUUUUAAUCAGGAGUCCCAAAACAAGAGCUUUCUAAGAACAAUGUGUGCCAUUGCACAGUGGAUAGUCAGAACACCUUAGGUAAGGAGCAACCUUAAAGGUUUUCCAAAAAAUGAGGUGGGUUUUCUAGCUUAGUAGCACCUACACCCAACUGACACAGACAGAAACAGUGGAUAUAAAUUAACAAGGAAUGGAAUUUAUUUCAUGAUUCCUCAAGUCCAUGAAUCCCUCAUACAACAUUGUUAGGAAGGAAGCAGAGAUAGUUCAAAGUUGGCUACGUUCCUGCAGACAGAAAUUCAAAAGAUGUCUUUAGUCUUCAUUCCCAGUGGUACAGAAAAGAAUUCCAAACUCUAGUGGAGACUAAAAUCAGAUGUUGCCCUGCAGAGAAAGUUUUUGGAAGCGCAUCUUUCCUCAAGCUGGUAACUUCAAGAUGUUUUGGACCACAACUUCCAGCAUUCCUGGCUGGAACUGAUGGGAGUUGGUUCAAAAUACCUGGAAGGCUAACACGUCUCAGUUCUGUCUCCUUGAGGCUGUAAUCCUAUAGUUCCUUAAUACUGUAAGAAGGAAAAUAGAACUUUGCAAAACAAAAACAAAACCCCAAAACAAAAACUUACUCAGGA